ensembl:lncRNA
AUGAGCCAUAAGGUAGCAAUUUUUUUAUACAUUUGCAAAGUAGAAAGCAAAGUAAAAGUUAAAAAAGAUGUAAUGAAAAAAUUUAUAACGAAAAAAAAAAAGUUCAGUAAAAAUAUACUAGUAAAAUAUAUUUUAUAUAACAGUAAAUCGAAACAAGUAUUACUAAAAAAAAAGUGGAAUAUAAAUUAUAUUUUAAAUAAAACAAAAGAUAAAAAUAAUAAGAAAAAAAAAGAUUUUAGCACAUAUGAAUUAAAUAAAUAUUCUGACUCAUUCGAUGAAUUUACAAAUAAACAAAAUAUUUCAACAUCAGAUUAUAUUACUUCAUUGAAUGAAAGUGUGAUCAGCAACAAGGUAAUUAAAAAACACAGUGGAAUAACCAAUUCAAACUCGUAUAAAAUAUUACUAAAAAAAAUAGUGAACAAUGUUAUUCAAGGACAAAACACGACUAUAAUAAAUACUGGAAUAGAUACAGAAAAAAAUGAAAAGAAUGUGUUUUUAUAUGGUUACUUAUUCAAUAAAUUUUUAAACAAAGUUAGGAAAAAUAAAAAUAAAAAAAAAAAUUCAUUAAACCUUUUAAGAAAAGAACAAAAUAGUUCUAAACAAACCGAAGAAGAAACAACAUAUGAUGAAAAUAUAAAUAAAGAAUAUAAUGAAAGUUCAAAAGGGAGUUCAAGCGUCGAAUAUAAUAAAAAAAAAAUUUUAAAGGAAAACAAUUUUAAAAAGUGUUCUAAAAGGGGGUUAAUUUUAGAUUUAUAUGAUUAUAUAAGAAGAACAAAUAUCGGAGGUAAAAAUUUUAUAAGAAUGUGUAUAUGUUUGUGCAUUUGUAUAGUAUUAGUGGGAUAUAUAUAUAUAUAUAUAAACAAUUUACUUUUUAUAAACCUAUAGGGCAUUUUUUUCUUUUUAACUGCACUAAUUUAUGAUACUACAUAUUUGUCCACUAUAUCUCUUUUUUACUUAACGUUUUACUUACUCAACUGUUUAUUCAUUUAUUUAUUCAUUUGUUUAUUCAUUCGUUUAUUUAUU